AGACCACAGUGGCUAACUGUAAGAUGGCGCUCACAAAAUUAUGUAGAGAAGGUUGAAGAAGAGCUUGAAAGGGAAGGUAAUCACAUAAUAACUAACCGUGAGGUUCACUUGGUUUCGACAACUGAAAAAGGAUGUGUUGUGUACUGCAAAGAUGGUUCUGCAAAAGUGUUUGAUGGAUGCAUAUUGGCAGUGCAUGCACCUGAUGCCUUGAGAUUAUUA